rnacentral:rRNA from 1 species
GAUGAACGCUGGCGGCGUGCCUAAUACAUGCAAGUCGAGCGAACAGACGAGGAGCUUGCUCCUCUGACGUUAGCGGCGGACGGGUGAGUAACACGUGGAUAACCUACCUAUAAGACUGGGAUAACUUCGGGAAACCGGAGCUAAUACCGGAUAAUAUAUUGAACCGCAUGGUUCAAUAGUGAAAGACGGUUUUGCUGUCACUUAUAGAUGGAUCCGCGCCGCAUUAGCUAGUUGGUAAGGUAACGGCUUACCACGGCAACGAUGCGUAGCCGACCUGAGAGGGUGAUCGGCCACACUGGAACUGAGACACGGUCCAGACUCCUACGGGAGGCAGCAGUAGGGAAUCUUCCGCAAUGGGCGAAAGCCUGACGGAGCAACGCCGCGUGAGUGAUGAAGGUCUUCGGAUCGUAAAACUCUGUUAGUAGGGAAGAACAAAUGUGUAAGUAACUAUGCACGUCUUGACGGUACCUAAUCAGAAAGCCACGGCUAACUACGUG